AUUUCACAAUGGGGGAAACCCUGAUGCAGCGACGCCGCGUGAGUGCAGAAGUAGUUCGGGAGGUAAAGCUCUAUCAGCAGGGAAGAAAAUGACGGUACCUGAUUAAGAAGCCCCGGCGAACGACGUGCCAGCAGCCGCGGUAAUACGUAGGGGGCAAGCGUUAUCCGGAUUUACUGGGUGUAAAGGGAGCGUAGACGGCAGCACAAGUCUGGAGUGAAAUGCCGGGGCUUAACCCCGGAACUGCGUUGGAAACUGUGCAGCUAGAGUGCAGGAGAGGUAAGUGGAAUUCCUAGUGUAGCGGUGAAAUGCGUAGAUAUUAGGAGGAACACCAGUGGCGAAGGCGGCUUACUGGACUGUAACUGACGUUGAGGCUCGAAAGCGUGGGGAGCAAACAGG
rnacentral:rRNA from 1 species